rnacentral:rRNA from 1 species
GCGCGGGGCAACCUGGCGGCGAGUGGCGAACGGGUGAGUAAUAUAUCGGAACGUACCCUGGAGUGGGGGAUAACGUAGCGAAAGUUACGCUAAUACCGCAUACGAUCUAAGGAUGAAAGUGGGGGAUUCGCAAGAACCUCAUGCUCCUGGAGCGGCCGAUAUCUGAUUAUCUAGGUGGUGGGGUAAAGGCCUACCAAGGUAUCGAUCAGUAGCUGGUCUGAGAGGACGACCAGCCACACUGGAACUGAGACACGGUCCAGACUCCUACGGGAGGCAGCAGUGGGGAAUUUUGGACAAUGGGCGAAAGCCUGAUCCAACAAUGCCGCGUGAGUGAAGAAGGCCUUCGGGUUGUAAAGCUCUUUUGUCAGGGAAAAAACGGUGAGGGCUAAUAUCCCUUGCUAAUGACGGUACCUGAAGAAUAAGCACCGGCUAUCUACGUGCCAGCAGCCGCGGUAAUACGUAGGGUGCAAGCGUUAAUCGGAAUCACUGGGCGUAAAGCGUGCGCAUGCGGUUUUGUAAGUCUGUCGUGAAAUCCCCGGGCUCAACCUGUGAAUUGCUAUGGACACUGCUAGGCUAGAAUCUGGCAGAGGGG